UAUCGACUCGCUGACGAGAGGAGCAACAACGCUGUAAACCACUGCAGGUCUGUGGCAAGGACCUGGUGAAAGUCCCGGGAGGUAAUUUCCUCGCUGGGACCAGUGUCUCCUUUCGGCAACGAGAAGAUUGACGGGAUUCCGACCGGGGAGAAAGCCAAACAAAUCAAGUAAGUUUUAAAGCGAUCGGUUAAAGUCCAUCGUUCAGGGUUACGGGUGAUUAAAAAUUCCCCGAAAAGUUAAUCGAGAGUUUGAGUCUCUCGAAGCUGCCGGUUUGAGUCCGUCGCAGAAGUUAAGGAAAACCAGGUUAAAGUCCUGAAGAGGUAGAAAAAAAA